rnacentral:rRNA from 1 species
AUGUUUCUUUCCAAAAAAGGCGCAGAAGAAGCACAAUGGCAUGAGCUAAAGAGGCAGCCCAAUGAGAAGGAACUGAGUCAUCCAAAAGACGGUGAUGCGUGGAAAGAUUUCGAUGAAAAUUUUCUAGAAUUUGCAGAAGAUGACAGAAACUCUAGGCUUGGCAUUGCCACUGAUGGGUUCAAUCCUUUUGGAAAUUUUAACACAACCUAUAGUAUGUGGCUUGUAUUUGUUAUACCAUACAACCUUCCACCUUGGGCAUGCAUGGAUCAGUCAAAUUUUAUGAUGGCUCUGCUGAUUCCAGGUCCCAAAUCACCUGGCAAGCACUUUGAUGUCUUUCUACAACCACUUAUAGAAGAAUUACUUGAGCUCUGGGAGGGUGUGCGUACAUAUGAUGCUCUUAGUGGAAAGAUGUUUGAUCUUCAUGCUGCAGUUCUAUGGUGCAUUCACGAUUACCCAGCUCUGAGCACUCUUUCAGGGCGUACCACAAGAGGCUAUUUUGCAUGUAUUCAUUGUGACAAACACCCUCUUUCUUACAACCUAAGGAGUAAAAUUGGGUAUAUUGGUCACUAUCGUUUCCUUCCAAGGGGUCAUCGUUUGCGGAGAAACAAUGAAUUUGUUGGUCUUCAUGAAAGCAAUGAUGAGCCGGGUAAAUUCUCUGAGAAAGAGUUGCAAGCAGAAUUGGAGAAGGUUAGACCUGGGAGACAACAAGAAAGUAGGAAAAGGAAGCGUUCUGACUUGGGCAGCAAGAAGUAUCAUGUGCCAAUUUGGGGCCGGAGGGUUUGUUUGUGGGAUUUGAAGUAUUGGGCAAAGGUGAAGCCGAGACACAAUCUUGAUGUCAUGCAUAUUGAGAAAAACAUUUGUGAAAACCUCAUUGGGACAAUUCUGAAUCUGGAGGGUAAGACAAAGGACACACUUAAUGCUAGGAUUGAUCUCAAAGAUUUGAAUAUUAAAGAGGAGUUGCAAUUGAGGAAGGAGGGAGACUCAUAUGUGAUGCCUCGGGCCCGAUAUACCUUGUCCAAAGAACAAGUUGUUGCAUUUUGUCAAUUUUUACGAGAGUUAAAGUUUCCAGAUGGGUUUGCUUCCAACAUCUCAAGAUGCACAAGUGCUGAUGGAACCAAGGUACAAGGCCUGAAAACACAUGAUUGUCACAUUCUUCUGCAGAGAAUCUUACCUGCCGGCAUGAGAGGAUUUUUGGACAGUGAUAUAUAUGAAGCAAUAGCUGAGUUAGGCAAUGUUUUCAGAGAACUGUGCAGCAAAACUCUUAAUAGGGAUGUCUUGGCCGAAAUGAAGAAGGAAAUCCCUGUAAUUUUGUGCAAGCUUGAGAAAAUUUUCCCGCCUGCAUUCUUUGAUGUGAUGGUGCACCUUGUCGUACAUUUACCUGAAGAGGCAUUGCUUCGAGGUCCCGUACAAUAUGGGUGGAUGUACCCAGUUGAAAGAAGGCUAUAUACUUUAAAGGGCUAUGUGAGGAAUAGGGCGCGACCAGAAGGUUCGAUUGCUGAGGCAUAUAUUGCAGAUGAAUGCCUGACAUUUUGCUCCAGGUCCACAAUCCUAUGA